rnacentral:rRNA from 1 species
GACGAACGCUGGCGGCGUGCUUAGCACAUGCAAGUCGAGCGGUAAGGCCCUUUCCGGGGUACGACGAGCGGCGAACGGGUGAGUAACACGUGGGUGACCUGCCCUCAGCUCUGGGAGUAAGCCUGGGAAACGUGGGUCUAAUACCGGAUAUGACUCCAUGACGCAUGUUGUGGGGUGGAAAGCCUUGUGCGGCUGAGGAUGGGCCCGCGGCCUAUCAGCUUGUUGGUGGGGUGAUGGCCUACCAAGGCGACGACGGGUAGCCGGCCUGAGAGGGCGACCGGCCACACUGGGACUGAGACACGGCCCAGACUCCUACGGGAGGCAGCAGUGGGGAAUCUUGCGCAAUGGGCGAAAGCCUGACGCAGCGACGCCGCGUGAGGGAUGACGG